CCAGACUCCUACGGGAGGCAGCAGUGGGGAAUAUUGGACAAUGGACCGAGAGUCUGAUCCAGCAAUUCUGUGUGCACGAUGAAGUUUUUCGGAAUGUAAAGUGCUUUCAGUUGGGAAGAAAGAAAUGACGGUACCAACAGAAGAAGUGACGGCUAAAUACGUGCCAGCAGCCGCGGUAAUACGUAUGUCACGAGCGUUAUCCGGAUUUAUUGGGCGUAAAGCGCGUCUAGGUGGUUAUAUAAGUCUGAUGUGAAAAUGCAGGGCUCAACUCUGUAUUGCGUUGGAAACUGUAUAACUAGAGUACUGGAGAGGUAAGCGGAACUACAAGUGUAGAGGUGAAAUUCGUAGAUAUUUGUAGGAAUGCCGAUGGGGAAGCCAGCUUACUGGACAGAUACUGACGCUGAAGCGCGAAAGCGUGGGUAGCAAACAGGAUUAGAUACCCUGGUAGUCCACGCCGUAAACGAUGAUUACUAGGUGUUGGGGGUCGAACCUCAGCGCCCAAGCAAACGCGAUAAGUAAUCCGCCUGGGGAGUACGUACGCAAGUAUGAAACUCAAAGGAAUUGACGG
rnacentral:rRNA from 1 species